UGGGGAAUAUUGCACAAUGGAGGGAACUCUGAUGCAGCGACGCCGCGUGAGUGAUGAAGGAAUUCGUUUCGUAAAACUCUGUUCUAUGGGAAGAAAAGGACUGUACCAUAGGAGAAAGCUCCGGCUAAAUACGUGCCAGCAGCCGCGGUAAUACGUAUGGAGCGAGCGUUGUCCGGAAUUAUUGGGCGUAAAGGGUGCGCAGGCGGCUUUACAAGUUGGAUGUGAAAUAUUGUGGCUCAACCACAAACGUGCAUCCAAAACUGCAAAGCUUGAGUUAAGGAGAGGUAAGUGGAAUUCCUGGUGUAGCGGUGGAAUGCGUAGAUAUCAGGAGGAAUACCGGUGGCGAAGGCUACUUACUGGACUUAAACUGACGCUCAGGCACGAAAGCGUGGGUAGCAAACAGG
rnacentral:rRNA from 1 species